AAGAGACAGCAGUCGCCACGGUAAGACAGAGGAUGGAAGCGUUAUCCGGAAUGAUUGGGCGUAAAGCGUCUGUAGGUGGCUUCUCAAGUCCGCCGUCAAAUCCCAGGGCUCAACCCUGGACAGGCGGUGGAAACUACCAAGCUGGAGUACGGUAGGGGCAGAGGGAAUUUCCAGUGGAGCGGUGAAAUGCGUUGAGAUCGGAAAGAACGCCAACGGCGAAAGCACUCUGCUGGGACGACACUGACACUAAGAGACGAAAGCUAGGGGAGCAAAUGGGAUUAGAUACCCCAGUAGUCCCUGUCUCUUAUAC
rnacentral:rRNA from 1 species